GUUGGGGGUAGAGAGGAAUCCAGAAGAAGGGUCCUCCAUGGAAGAUGCUGUGCUUGGUUUCAUUUAUAGAGAGUACACGAGGUUUCUUUCACAAAGUGGAAGCUUAGGUGGUGGAGUGCCUUUUCGCAGACCGAAAUGAGGUUUAUGAACAAUAAUUUAGAUGAUGAAUACACUCUAGAUGUAUUGGAGUACCUUGACGAAGCAUGGGCUGGAAAGUUGGUUUUGGUGGUGAUCACCCGGAGCAGAUCUUGCGUCAUGGACCUACUUAGCAGGUGCAGUUUGGCUGGUCUUGCAUUGUGCCUGUCAGAUUAGUGCUGUACUUGAUGCAUUGUUGUCGUUUAUACAUGAAACCAAAUGAAAUACAAGAACCAUAUGUAGAUUGCAGAACAAAUUAUUUUCCUUCUAAAGAGGGUGAGAUCUUAGUAGAACUUUAUUGCUUGUGGUGCCCUGCUGUUUGACAAUGUAAUUGGUGCGAGACACUGGCAUAUGAUCUGGCCUGAGCCUUGUGUAUGA